rnacentral:lncRNA from 1 species
GAAUCUCAGGCUUGGGUAUUAGCGGGGGGGCUUGAAGUUCUGUCCCUGACACAAGAUCCCAAGACUCGGAGUCCUGCAUGACCAGGUCCCUAACAAGGACCUCAUCUUUUCUGAUAGCUGAAUCCAUGGAUGAAUUAGGAUAAUUUUCAACACUCUCCACCAUUGUUGACUCCAACUCAAUAUCAGAACUCCUAUUGUCUUCCGUGCACAGUUCAUUGUUUCCAGUAAACGAGGACCGACGAGCAGGGUAUCCCUUGCUUUCAUCUCCUUGCAUAUUUUGCAUGUUAUUCCCUUCAGAAUCUGCCCACUGGAAAAAUUUACAAGCUCCAUGGUUCUGUAUCAAAAUCAAACCACUUUACUUGGAUCAAGACAAGCAUUACAAACACAGGCAAAAGGAAGGAGAAACACACAAGUAAAAACUAAUAACUGUGUUUUAACUUUCACCAUCUCCAGAGGUGAUGCCCGGCUGUGGCCAGGAACUUUCUUAGGUUUUCUUGAGAAAAUUUAGAGUGGGACUGCUGUUAUGAAGUAAGUUUCAUGUUCUUGUCUUUGAAAAUACGACAUAGAAAGUUCUUUAAAUCUAAAUUGCUGAAUACAGAUCAACAGUAAGGCUUGUGUUUAAUCUUCACAUCAAAUAUGAAACAACGACCCGCUAUUAAUGAUUAAAAAUACUCAAUCAUUUUCCUUCCAUUUGCAUCGAGAUUUGUGAGAUUUAUGUCCAUAUUCGUUGAAAUAUAAUCACUCGAUCCACUAUAUAUACAUGUAAUGUAGAAGGGAUUCAAGGGCCCUAACUACAAAGAUUUAAAGGCCGAGGGAAAAAAAAUUUGAUUGAGGUCAACAUGGAAGGUAAGGGUAUUCCGGCAAGCAUUCUCCUGGCCCUAAUGCUGGUGUUGAUGAUUCUGUGUCAUGCGAGAAUGGCUGUUUCAGAGUGCUUUACUCCCUGUGUUCAAGAAUGCAAGCUUCAAAUUAACCCAUGAAUAUGUAUAAGAGGAUGUGAAAUUAAAUGUGGCGAUGGUCCAGAUGUGAAUCGUCAGAAUCAAGUUAAUGUCUUGCACAGUUUAACUGUUUUGAACUUAGCAAAAAGGCAUGCAUCACAUCCAUAUAUCUUCUUCAAUAAAUGGUUCAUGAUUUUUUAAUCCUAUUUUGUGUCUCUUAACUUUUCUGUUUUUUUCAAUGAUUAAGACUUAAGAUAUUAUGACGAGUGAGAAGACAAACAUGAUGAUGAUGAUGAAGACAAGACUCCUAACUAUCAUGAUAUAGCCCUUGAUUGUAUUGCUUCAGACAGCAGCUUAACCCAGUCUCUAAAAUCUGACGGUGAUUGAGGAAUUCCAUCCCAUUAGGGUUAGACGCCAAUGCCACAAGGAACCACCUGUCAUUUAUUCAACUCCUUGAUAGGGAACGACAAGUCGUCUAUAAUUUAACAAAUCCUAAAACUCCCCGUGGGAAUGGGAUUUUUUUAGAAAAAUCACGGGUUAAGGAAUAACAAUUUAUUAAAUAAAUUGUUAAAAUAAAAUGAUAUAUUUUAAAAGAGAAAAAUUAAAAUUAAAAUCCUAGAAACAUAUAGAAACGUUUGAGAGUGUGAUUACGGUUAUUUUUUUUAAAUGUUUUUUAAUUGAAAAUAUAUUAAAAUAAUAUUUUUUAUCUAAAAAAAUUAUUAUUAAAAUUAACAUGUUAAAAUAAUUUGAUAAUAUAAAAAAUAUAUUAAUUUAAAUUUUUUUUUUUAAAAAAAAAACAUCAUCAAACUAGCUCCGCCGGAUCAAGUUGGCCACCCACCACCUUGUCAUUUUGAAAUGAUGUCUAAUAUUUUUCAUGCCCUCCGAGCUUGAUUGUUUUUUUUUAUUAUUCAUAAUCCUUUUGAUCAAUCUAACAGCCUUGAGUCAGGACUCAAGUUCGAGCUAUAAUAAAAAACACGUGAUUUCCAAUUUAAUCUUUUUUCUCACACAAACGAGUCUAUACUCAAAACCUAAUUUUAUUUAACUUUAUAAAUAUUAAAAUAAAUAGUUCAAAAAGAAAAUUAACAAUUUAAAUUCAUAAAUAAAAAAUAUAUAUUCUGUCAAAAUCUUCUGUUUUUAUUUAUUCAUUUCUUUUUUAUUUGACAUAACCACGACUAAUUUAUCAUUAAGAUGGUUUUUUCAAUACAAAUUUAAAGCAUGUAAUCUAGAAACUUAUAGGAAUUCAAAUGAUUUACAUUUAAGAGAAAAAAUAUAUUUUUUUAAAUAAAGCUCUGUUUUCUAUAUUCAUUUUUUUAAUUUUUUGAGCAACACGGUUUUUAUCAAAAACUUUGUUCUUCGUAUAAAAUCUUUGUAUGAUAUAUAAAACAAUUUCAAAUAGAAAAACAAAUACAAAAUCAAGAUCCAAGUUUUCAGAACCACAAACCGAUUAUUCACUUGAAAACACCCCAAAUACAUCCUAUAACUUCAAUAAGUCAAAUUUUAAAUGCAAAACUAUUAUCAAAACCAAAAAAAAAAUCUUUACUGUCCCCAUUCUGAAAUAUUAUAAAAAUACAGUGUGAUGACUCAAUCAAACAAACCUAACACUACAAAGACCAAAUAUGAAAAGACUUAAAACUUAAAGGACGUGAACAAUCCAGCUAUUAGGCCAUUACCUUCUCACCUGAAUGAAUGGUUGACCUGAAUUUUCCAAUCCCAAUUUACCAUAUCCAUAAUUCGGUGGAACGAAAGGACCACACAUAGUAGCGGCAUUGGCCUCAGUGAUAGUCCCAACAAUAAUUAACCGAUUCAAGCUCUGAUUCGGUCUUUCAACACCCUUUGCUGCCAAGCUAAUUGCAAACCGAGAAAAGCUCCUUCAGUUUUUAACCUUCACCCAUUUUAGCCACGUCAGCACUUUGUUCCUUCUUUCAAACAACGAAAACAUUAGCUGUCAGUUCCAAGAGACAAGCAGCAUAAUCUACAUUUGACUACUUAGGAUGACGUAUCGUAACAUUAUACAUACCAUACAGGUCUUAAGUGUUUACAAGUGCUAUGAGCAUGCCUAAAGUUGCUAGAUUCGCUUACAAGUAUGUACAUACAUACACAUACAGACAUUGUAACUUGGAUUGUUGGAUACUACAGAAACAAAUCGAAAGUUUCGUGGUGACACUGAAGAAGCUGAGCCCUUGCAUUCUCUAAUGCUGCAUUUGUUGCAUAUACCAUUGAAUCCCUCUCGUCCUCAAGUUUCAAAGCUUGUUCCAUUUUCUCACAUGCAGCAUCCAAGCUUCUCUCUGAUUCUGACUUUUGGUUAGAAAUUUCACUAACAUCAGACUUCCACCUCGAAGUCUCAUCCUCAUAGAAAGACAAAUGUUUCUCCAGUUGAAGAGGCAUGAAAAUUCCAAAGCUUGUUGCAUUUUCGACACGUGAAAGUUCUACACGAAGUGCUUGGACUUGGUUUUCGGAAGCUUCAUAAGCAUACACUGCCUCCGCAUGGCGCUGAGAGAUGUUAUCAAACAGGGAUUUCUUAUCAUUGUAACGGCCAAGGAAUUCUUCUGGAGAAAAGUCUUUGCCCAUGGACUCCUCAAUUCCAGCCAGUUUUGAUUUGCAUUGAAUGUAUUCGCUCACAGCCUUGGAAAAAGAUGCAUGGUCGAUUGAGAGAUGGCGCAAAGUAUCAAAAGUGUUUUCCGCCACCUUCAACAUUGUUUCAUGCUGAGUCUGAUCCAUAGACUGCAGAAUGUCGAGCAAACCUUGCCCAAACGUUUUCAAGGCUAACUUUGAUGUAUCACUGUUCUCCACCACAGUUUGCAUCCUUGAAGGCUCCUGAAAAAUACCAUUUGGAUGCUCAGCAUCCUCUCUAGGAGAUUGUAGAAAUGGACCUUGCUUUAUAUCACUUUCAUCAUCAUUUGAUGGACUGCCUGCUAAGAGAGCCAGGCCUUCAAUAUCACCCACAUCUUCUAUAACAGGAUCAAAAGGAGAAGUGCCUGUUGCAGAAUAGGGGUGUUAGAACUGAAGAUUUGAGGAAGGAAAACAGCUGAACAAAUUAAUGGACAAUAUUUACGGCAAAAGAAGGGUUCACCAUGAGGCUCUUUUAGGAACCAAUAAGUGAGGUCAAAGCAACCCUACCCAAUCAAACAGAGACAUGAAAUUGUAAAAACUGGUAAACAUCAUCAGUCAACCACCAAAAUGACAAAUGAAUUCAAUGUUGUGAAAUGAUAGUGGGGAUCAUGCAAAUUAUCAAAACAAACUGACAGCAAUAAACAAAGAAAUCAAGUACCCAAAAAAUAUACACCUUCACUUUUAGUGUGCCUUGCAUUAGAAAUUUGCAAAGAUAACUCUGGUUCUUGGCAAGGAAUCUCAGGCUUGGGUAUUAGUGGGGGGACUUGAAGUUCUGUCCAUGACACAAGAUCCCAAGACUUGGAGUCCAGCAUGACCAGGUCCCUAACAAGGACCUCAUCUUUUCUGACAGCUGAAUCCAUGGAUGAAUUAGGAUAAUUUUCAACACUCUCCACCAUUGUUGACUCCAACUCAAUAUCAGAACUCCUAUUGUCUUCCGUGCACAGUUCAUUGUUUCCAG